rnacentral:rRNA from 1 species
AUUGAACGCUGGCGGCAGGCCUAACACAUGCAAGUCGAACGAGUGGCGGACGGGUGAGUAAUGUCUGGGAAACUGCCUGAUGGAGGGGGAUAACUACUGGAAACGGUAGCUAAUACCGCAUACCAUCAGAUUUGCCCAGAUGGGAUUAGCUAGUAGGUGGGUUAACGGCUCACCUAGUCGACGAUCCCUAGCGGGUCUGAGAGGAUGACCAGCCACACUGGAACUGAGACACGGGCCAGACUCCUACGGGAGGCAGCAGUGGGGAAUAUUGAACAAUGGGCGCAAGUCUGAUGCAGCCAUGCCGCGUGUAUGAAGAAGGCCUUCGGGUUGUAAAGUACGUUCAGCGGGGAGGCGUUACCCGCAGAAGAAGCACCGGCUAACUCCGUGCCAGCAGCGCGGUAAUUC